CCUACGGGAGGCUGCAGUGGGGAAUAUUGGACAAUGGGGGGAACCCUGAUCCAGCCAUGCCGCGUGUGUGAAGAAGGCCCUCGGGUUGUAAAGCACUUUCAGUGAGGAAGAACGCCUGGUGGUUAAUACCCAUCAGGAAAGACAUCACUCACAGAAGAAGUACCGGCUAACUCCGUGCCAGCAGCCGCGGUAAUACGGAGGGUGCGAGCGUUAAUCGGAAUUACUGGGCGUAAAGCGCGCGUAGGUGGCUUGAUAAGCCGGUUGUGAAAGCCCCGGGCUCAACCUGGGAACGGCAUCCGGAACUGUCAAGCUAGAGUGCAGGAGAGGAAGGUAGAAUUCCCGGUGUAGCGGUGAAAUGCGUAGAGAUCGGGAGGAAUACCAGUGGCGAAGGCGGCCUUCUGGACUGACACUGACACUGAGGUGCGAAAGCGUGGGUAGCAAACAGGAUUAGAUACCCGUGUAGUC
rnacentral:rRNA from 1 species